rnacentral:lncRNA from 1 species
AGAUAAGCCAGAGUCCCAGGGUCUUCUUCACGCCCCAUUACCGCCCCCAGGUUCCUCGACCAAGGUCUGGACGACAACUAUUGCCGGAAUCCUGACGGCUCCGAGCGGCCAUGGUGCUACACUACGGAUCCGCAGAUCGAGCGAGAAUUCUGUGACCUCCCCCGCUGCGGGUCCGAGGCACAGCCCCGCCAAGAGGCCACAAGUGUCAGCUGCUUCCGCGGGAAGGGUGAGGGCUACCGGGGCACAGCCAAUACCACCACCGCGGGCGUACCUUGCCAGCGUUGGGACGCGCAAAUCCCGCAUCAGCACCGAUUUACGCCAGAAAAAUACGCGUGCAAGUGAGGUGGGGGGGCGGGCGUUGGGACGUGCUGCUGCGGGUGAGACGGGAGGAGGGUAGUCACGGGCUUAGGGCUGGAGGCUGGCGGGCUAGGGCUGAGUGCAGCGCCUGCUUAGAGACCUUCGGGAGAACUUCUGCCGGAACCCCGACGGCUCAGAGGCGCCCUGGUGCUUCACACUGCGGCCCGGCAUGCGCGUGGGCUUUUGCUACCAGAUCCGGCGUUGUACAGACGACGUGCGGCCCCAGGGUGAGGCCCAAGCUUGGGGGCUACAGAGCCGGGGCUGGAAGCCUGGAACCGGAGGGCCGGGGCGGGGUCUCGGCCUGAUGGCUGCCCGCACCGGCCGCAGACUGCUACCACGGCGCGGGGGAGCAGUACCGCGGCACGGUCAGCAAGACCCGCAAGGGUGUCCAGUGCCAGCGCGGGUCCGCUGAGACGCCGCACAAGCCGCAGUGAAUCCCUGGUGCUCCCGGCCCCGCCAGGGCCCUAACCCUGGGGCGGCAUGCUUUGAUGUCUGGGACCAGAGCCUGGAAAUGGUUGAGACUACCCUGCCACGACUUCGCUCCCGCUCCCGCCUCGGUUCACGUUUACCUCCGAACCGCAUGCACAACUGGAGGAGAACUUCUGCCAGACCCAGAUGGGGAUAGCCAUGGGCCCUGGUGCUACACGAUGGACCCAAGGACCCCAUUCGACUACUGUGCCCUGCGACGCUGCGCUGAUGACCAGCCGCCAUCAAUCCUGGACCCCCCCAGGUUAGGAGUUGGGCCAGUUAUGGGUCAGGCCCUUUAGCCCACGACAUCCACACAGUCUGGGUUUCAUCCAGCCCACCCCAUCCUACAGACCAGGUGCAGUUUGAGAAGUGUGGCAAGAGGGUGGAUCGGCUGGAUCAGCGUUGUUCCAAGCUGCGCGUGGCUGGGGGCCAUCCGGGCAACUCACCCUGGACAGUCAGCUUGCGGAAUUGGUGAGGCACAACUGCCUGUCUCCCACAGAGAGGAGCUGAGGUUGUGUCCUCUGUGGUUAUGCCACUGGGGGCUGGGAAUCUAUCCCUGCCCCCAGAGGUCCUAGCCAGAAGAUGGCAGGUCUAGCAUCUGUCCCAGGAGUCUGUUCCCUGUCCUAAUUCCCCACUCCUCUAGGCAGGGCCAGCAUUUCUGCGGGGGGUCUCUAGUGAAGGAGCAGUGGAUACUGACUGCCCGGCAGUGCUUCUCCUCCUGGUGAGCCUCCCUUGUGUUUGGGGACCCAGUCUCAUCCCACCUUCCCCUUUCCCCAGGCAAGCUAACAAGUGAGCCUUGGGGCAACGGACUGAGAGUCACAAAUGACCUAGCAGAGCUUCUCUCCCAGCCAUAUGCCUCUCACGGGCUAUGAGGUAUGGUUGGGCACCCUGUUCCAGAACCCACAACAUGGAGAGCCAGGCCUACAGCGGGUCCCAGUAGCCAAGAUGCUGUGUGGGCCCUCAGGCUCUCAGCUUGUCCUGCUCAAGCUGGAGAGAUCUGUGACCCUGAACCAGCGUGUGGCCCUGAUCUGCCUGCCGCCUGAAUGAUAUGUGGUGCCUCCAGGGACCAAGUGUGAGAUUGCAGGCCGGGGUGAGACCAAAGGUACGGGUAAUGACACAGUCCUAAAUGUGGCCUUGCUGAAUGUCAUCUCCAACCAGGAGUGUAACAUCAAGCACCGAGGACAUGUGCGGGAGAGCGAGAUGUGCACUGAGGGACUGUUGGCCCCUGUGGGGGCCUGUGAGGGUGACUACGGGGGCCCACUUGCCUGCUUUACCCACAACUGCUGGGUCCUGAAAGGAAUUAGAAUCCCCAACCGAGUAUGCGCAAGGUCGCGCUGGCCAGCCGUCUUCACGCGUGUCUCUGUGUUUGUGGACUGGAUUCACAAGGUCAUGAGACUGGGUUAGGCCCAGCCUUGACGCCAUAUGCUUUGGGGAGGACAAAACUUGUAAGUACAGUCAAGGACAAGACUUGUACUCAAGGCUGAGAUUUAAUAAAAUUCAUAUUUUUACUACUUCACCAAGGACUUUCUUAAAUGAAAAUGGUUUUUCCCCCUACAAGUAAACAGUAAUAAAGAAGAGAAUUAUUCCU